rnacentral:tRNA from 1 species
CCCCUCAUGGUCCAGUGGUUAGGACUCUGAGAUUUCACUGCCAGGGCCCAGGUUCGAUCCCUGGUAGGGGAA